rnacentral:lncRNA from 1 species
CUGCCAUACUUACCUUAGAUACCAAUUGGUCAAUUAGAAUCGAACAGGUUAGCCUAGUGACUCGGACUCGGACCACUGAGCCAAAUUCGGUCUUGAGUCAAUCAAUUCACAUCAAAAUGUGAAUCGAUGCGACCAACUAUAACUAAACUCAACUUUGAGCCCCUUUGACCUAAUCCUAACCACCAUUGAUUAGGUUCGAUCAACUGCUCAAAAUCGACAACGGAUUCUAUCCUGAUCUAAUCAAUCCCUAAUUGUAGUUUGAUCGCUAGAUCUAAUUUAUUCAAUCCCUACCCAAUCUCAUAUUUUAUGCAUUAAAUUUUAGAUCUUAAAAUCUUAUUUUCAGAUCUAUUAAUCUUAAUUUCAUAUCUUAAAAUCUUAUUUUCAAAUCUUAAUUAAGUGUAUUAUGAACAUGGGUUUAGAAACAAUUUCUUUACAUUGUAUCUCAUACAAUUUUCUAUCUACAGACUUGAGUCGACUUACCCUGAAAUUGAGUCGACUCAUCACACUGAGUCGACUCACUCUGAGACUGAGUCAACUCAACUGUGCCAAACAAAAAUCCUUUAGCCUCAGCCUGCAUAUUUGAGUCGGCUCAUCUGCAAACUAAGCCAACUCACCAUAAUCUCGAGUCAACUCAAACAAAAAUCAAGUCGAAUCGACUCGAUUUUUUGACUCGAAUAAAAAUCGAGUCCACUCAACAGGCGUGCCAGCCACAGAUUUCAUAUUUUCAAAUUUCAUAUUUUCACAUUUUUUUUGCAUCAUUUAAAGUUCUAAUUUAGAUGUGAAACAAUUUUCAAAUCUAAACAACUUUAUUAUGCAACAAAAAUAACAGAUCCUAAGAUUUUUGGAUCUAGAAUUUUGCAGAAAAUUAAAUUUUUUUCAUUUCGUAGUUCUUCUUCAUGAGACAUCACAGUGGCACCCCUACACGCCAUAAAAGAAUCCAUCGAUUGGACAAGAGAGGGACUUUAAUCCCUGCCAUGGUUUUCGAAACCAUCUCAAACCGUCCGAUUCAGGGCAUUCCGAAUUAAACCGAUGGCCAAACGGCCCGAUUCGAUCAUGAAAACCGACACAGAAAAAAUAAAAAAAUAGUGAACCAUCCGGUUCGGACCCAAAUCGGGCAGUAUGGGGACCGAACCGAACGGUUCGGCCCUAUUUCAAACCGAACCGAUCGGUUCAAUUGUUUUAAGAGAGGAAAAGGCCUAAGAGAAAGCCAAAAGGCUUUUGCUCUGUUAUUUCGAUGCAGCAGAGACAUCUUUCGUCCCUUUUCUAUUUUAAGAACAGUCGAAAAACGUGCGAUCAAGCUUGAUUAGAGGUACGUAUUCGAUCCUAGCUCCCAUUCUUCACCUUCUUUUUUUUUAAAAAAUUCAUGAAAAAUAAAAAAACAAGAAGAAACCAUGUCAAAUUUUAUUUUUUUAUUUGAUUUUAAUAUAUGUUGUAGAUCUAUGGAAGAUCUACACAAUGAUACUAAAAUUAUUAAUUUUCGUUAAGUAUAUAAAUUUUAAAAUUAAAAAUAUAUUUUUAAAAUAAAAAUUAUUUUAAAAAAUAAAAUUUAAAAAAAAUAUAAAAUCAGAUUAUGAAUGAAGGUCUUACAAGCUACUUUUGACAUAAUUUUGGUGUCGAUUGAUCAACAUUUUGAUGCAUCUUGCGCAUAGUAUUUUAGGCCUAAAUUUCGAAAAAGAAACAUUUUAUCACUCUCCACGAACUAAGAAAUUUAUAUGUAGCAUAAAUGAUGGGAUCCUACAUGGGUCUAGGAUCAAUUUUCAUAAUUUUUUAUUUUUUAAUAUAAUUAUUUAUUAAAAAAUAAUAAAAAAUAAUUAAAUAAUUCAAAAAUAUUAAAAAAUUAGGUAAAUAAAAUCAAUCAUUUUUACAUAGUUAUUAAAGUAACAUGCUUGUCAAUUCUCGAGAAUGGAUCCAUCACAAAAGAAGAAGGAUCCCAAGCGUGACAUUGGUUGGGAGCAUGAGGAGAUGCUCUCAGAUCGGCAUCAUUGGAGAUGUAAAUGGUGUAGCAUAGAAUUCAAAAAAGAAGGGCUUACAUGAUUGAAGCAACAUUUGAGUAACGGCUAUCUAGAUACAACUAUAUACCGUAAGUAUCCACAGGAGAUCGGUCAGCUCAUGAAGAAGUACUUUGCUGAUUUUAAAGUGACGAAAGAAAAAAAUUUGAAGGCAAAGGUGGACCGUCGAGCAGUCAAGCUACCUUCUUAUCACUUUAGGGAGUCAGAGAAAGAAUAAGCAUCUAUUCCAUCAGAUGAGCAAACACAGAUCGAUGUUGCCAUUCGGACGAGUUUGGAUGAUCAAUAACAACUAGAGGUGCUGGCCAGACAUCGAUUUGGGCCAUCAGUUUAUGAGGGCGAGUCAAGCUCAGGGAGCAGUGCAGCUGAGUCUGAGUCAGCACAGAUUAGGAGGACUUCUCAGUUAGAGAUCCCGCCAGUAAAGGCACCAGCCAUCUUGCAUCCAUAUUGGGAGGAUUUGGUGGUAGAAAGAAGUCUUCCAGGGAGAUUCCAGAAUGAGCUACUAUUUAUGAUUUGAAUCCACAUGUCUUUUCUAGCAGAGCCUCCAUGCAACAAAAGAUUGAUACUAUAUUGAGAAAAGAUAAGAAGAAGGAUAUGUGGAAAGCUAUUGGAUUGUGAUUUCACUUCAGUCACAUCCCAGUAAAUACAGCAGACAAUUCAUAUUAUCGCACUAUCAUUUCAUCUAUACAGGCUGCCGAUCCAGUGUUGAUUCUCCAGGAUUUAGAGAUAUCCAUGGUGAGCUUCUUGACAGCAAUAAAAAGGAUUUAGAGAAGUAGAUUGCCUCUUUUCAGAGCAAAUGGCCUGUGUAUGGAUUGACUAUAAUGUAUGAUGGUUGGACUGAUCCUACUAGACGAAGCAUCAUCAACUUCUUGACAUAUUGUGAUGGAAGAAUAUCUUUUCACAAGUCUGUUGAUGUUUCAGCUGAGGUGCACGAUGCCAGCUACGUCCUUAGAUUGAUGGAGGAGGUGAUUGAUCAGGUAGGGGAGCAAAAUGUCAUGCAGGUUGUCACAGAUAAUGGACCACAAUAUAAGGUUGCAGGAAAGUUGUUGAUGGAGCAGCGACCACAUAUUUUCUAGACCCCGUGUACUGCACAUUGUAUUGAUCUGAUGUUGAUAGAUAUUGAAAAGAUUCGUAGGAUGCAGAAGGCAGUAGAGUCAGCAUAGAGCAUCACCAGAUUCAUUUAUAACCAUAUAUGGGUCCUAUCAUUGAUGCGGCAGUAUGUUGGGGGCGAUAUAUUGAGAUCAGACGUCACACGGUUUACUACGAAGUAUAUAGCACUUGAUAGCCUCAUUGAUGAGAAAGUACAACUGCAUCAGAUGUUUGUUAGUAUUGAAUGGCAGGAGAGCAAAAUGCUAGGGCAGGCAGUGAGGGCAGCACUGUGGAGAGUCUAAUGAUGAGACAGUCAUUCUGAGGAUAGUGGCGGCUAUCAAGCCGCUGUAUGAAGUGCUCUGAGCUGUGGAUGGUGAGCGAUACCCUCAGAUGGGCUUCCUAUAUCAUGUGAUGGAGAGGGCGAAGGAACAAAUCAAGGUGGCAGAGCCAAAACAUGCAAAUGAGUAAAUCAGGAUCGUCGACGAUCGAUGGGGCUAUCAGAUGGGUAGGGAGUUGCACUUAGUAGGUAAGCAGCAAAUCAAAAAUUUUUUAAAAUUUAUAUAAAUAAACUUAAUCAAUUAUGACAAUCUAUGUGCAUCUUACUACCUAAACCCGGGGUUCCAGUACUUCAUACCUAGGAUUGGCAUGGAUGAAGAGCUUUUGUCUGCCUUACGAAAUGUCAUAAACAAGAUGGAGCCCAAUGUAGACAUCGCGGCUAUGUAUCCUGAGCAAGUAAGUUAAGUUCAGUGAUGUUUAUUAGCUUAGCGAUGUCUUCAACAAGACAUUAUAACAAAUGAUUUUUUUACAGACAAAUAUUUAGGGAGGGCACAGAUUCAUUUGGAACUAAUGUAGCGAUCAGCAGCAAAUCAAAGAUGAAUCCAGGUAUAUAUCAAUGUUUAUUUUUAUAUUCAAUCUUAUUUUUGAUCGUGCUGAUUUUCAAUGAUUUUGCAACUGAAUAGUGGGUGCAUUUUGAUGGAACAGCACGACAUCUGAAGAAUCUUGCCAUCAAGAUCCUAUCCCAGACGAUUUCAUCGAGUGGAUGUGAGCGCAACUGGUCGACCUUUGCCCUUAUCCACAGCAAGCAAAAGAACCAUCUAAAACAGAAACGCUUUAAUGAUCUUGUGUAUGUGCACUACAAUCUAAGAUUGAGGCUUAAAUUCAUUCAGAAGGAAGUUCAGCUGAAGUACUCCGAUCCGAUUUGCAGUGAUUUUAUUACUGAAGAUGAAGCAGAAGAUCCGAUGACUGGAUAGAUUAUGAGUCAGCAGCAGGAUCCAAAGCUUGAUCAACCAGGAUCACCUCAACGACUAGCCAGUUUUGUUGCUAGCGAGGCUGGGGUGGACGUCGAGAGGUGGGCAAGCAGGAACAUUCCACUUAGACUUCCAGUCGAUUUGCCACAGCAUUCGGUUCACUCAGAAUCAGAGACCAGAUGGAGCUGAGAUGGUAGCUUUUCGACUGGUCAUGGAUCUGAUGAUGGUGGAGGGAUCGAAGGACAGGAGACGCAGCCAAUUGGUAGUGUUUGAUUCACUGAUGAGUCUCAGUUCACACACGCCACGCAGGAUAGGGACCAUGGUGCAUGCGCUGGUAGAGCCCGCGAUGAUACGAUUUUAUACAGACGACAGGAUCCGCGAGAUCAUUCAGGACAUGAUGCAGCUACAGAUGACCUCGCACAUGGAGUAGGAUCCAUAGAUAUAUCAGGUUCAUUUUCAUAUUCUGGACCUCCUAUCUGCAGCCACAACCACCCUAUGAUCCUUAUGGAUAUGGAUACGGUGCAUCACAGACAUCCUCUAGUGGCUACUAUCUUAUGCAGCCCGGAACACCUUAUGGAUCAGAUUUUAUUGUCAGUAUAUUUGGAUGGGCCCCUUCACAGCCAUACUAUCAGUUCGAGGAUACCGCUCAAAGCCAGGACCUCAAUGAUACUUCAAGGUUGAGUUAUGAUCCAGCACGCCAACCUCCUGGAAUGAGUGCAGUGGGUUAUCAUGCUAUGUGACUAGAAGGGUGGUCUGAUGUUCCUCCUGAAUAUAUAAAUGAUCUUGAUAUUUAUGCACAUUGGCGGUCGACCAGAUUCUGAUGAUCGGUACGUAUUUAAUAUUUUUAAAUUUUUUAAUUGAUUUUAGUAUUUUAGGAUCCAAUGACAUCUAAUUUAUGUAUUGAUUUAAGUAUUUUACAGUGAUACAAACAUUAAUUUGAAUACAAGCACCAGAAUUAUGAAAGUACCUCAAAUUUUGUAGUUCGGAUAUUGCUAGUUAUAGUUCGGAUAUCGCUAGUUAAAAAGUGAUCAAAGAAUUGCAAGAUCAUAGAUAUACUUAAUAAAAUUGAAAGAGAAAAAGGACUACCAACUUGUCAGGGAUGUCAAUCUAAACAUCUAGCCUCUCCUUUGAAUUAUUUGUUACUUUGUAAAAAGGUAGCAUUUUUUUUGAAUACUCAUUCUUCCUAAAAACACAAUUUGGGAUCAAAAAAUAAUUUUAUUAAUCAAAAUUUCUCAAAAAAUAAAAAAAAUCAUUAAAUACUCCUAAAAAAAAUGACGUGCCGAUCAAACCAGCACGCCUGCCGUAUCGUAUGUCGGUACAAUACCAAAUCGAUACCAUAUUGUACCGGCUUGCUUCCUCUUAUGAUCUGACAGUCUGGUGAUGUACCCAUUCCGAGUACUGGGCUACUAAGAAACUAAACUAAAUAUACAUAUCACAUAUGUAUCAAAAUAAAUUUCAGAUCUACGCAUGCUUUUCCAUACCUCAUAUAUGAACAAAAAUUCAGAUCUAACUUAAAACAUAAUGAUCAUAUGAAAAGCUAAAAUCUAGAUCUAAUCUAAUUUCAGAUUCAUUCAUAAAUCAGAUUUAAUUAAUUUUAAUUCAGAUCUAAAUCAGGAAUCAGAUCUAUGCAUGUCAAAAAAAUCCGUAGCUCUGAUAUCACUAUUAAAAAUGCAGGCAGUUACAUGCAUGUAUUUCAAAAAUAAUUUUGAAUUAAUAAAACAGCGAAAGAUAUCUAGAUUAAACUCUUUUAACAUAGUAUGCAUCAGAUCUAAUCUGUUAACUAUCCGUGCCCAGAUCUAUGACAUACAUAAUCUGAAAUCAAGCAUGCACAAUCUGAAAUUUAAGACAUGUAGAUCACAUCUAUGAAAAAAUUGAGAUCAGAUCUCAAUACCUUGUGCGGGUCGAAAUACACCGCAGCUGAUGAUCAUAGAUUUGAAGGUUCCUUGAGCCGCACAUGCGCUGGCCUCUACAGGUAUCCACACAAAGCUCCGAUCUAAUCAGAGUACGAUGAUCUCACCGAGAUGCUAGCUUUCUUGCAAAGAUCUUCUCUUGAUGGCUGAUCUGGCUCCUUCAGAUCUCUCAGACUCUUCCAAAAAAGGAGAAGGCUAUUUUGGAGGAAGAUGUGGAGGAAGAAGAUAAAUAGGAGAAACACUUUUCUCUUUUCUCUCUUCCCAACCCAAUGCCCAAACCUAGAACUCUAGGGUUUCCUACAUGCCAAAAGGAGCCGCCUACACCUUUCUCAUGCACAAUCUGAUUUUUCCUCUCAAAUACUCGAUGAAAAGGUUUCUCACGGUGAAAAGAAAUCUAGUUGCACGCCAAAAAAAACAUCCCAUUUAUGAUUGGCAUCCAAAAGAAGAUAGGAAUUAUCCUUAUCAAAUAAGGAAUCCAAUCAAAUUCAAAUUUGAAUUCAAAUCAAAUUUGAAUUCAAACUUGAACUAACUUCUAUCCAUAUCCACGCGUGGAGAAGAGGGGGCGACAACAUCAAAUUUGCGUGAAGAAACUUCACGCAAAAACCAAAUUAGCAUGAAGAAAGUCGGCAUCAAUAAGAAGAGUGGCGCAAGGAAAGAGUCCAAUCUUUGGACUCUUGGUUGUUUCCAAUUUGAUCCCAUCCAAAUCCCAUUUGGUUAGAGUCAAAUUAAAUGAGUGAACCUAAUCCAAUUAGGCACUUAAACUCCUCAAUUAAAUCCUAAUCCAAUUAGGAAUCAAUUGAGCCCAAGUUCUGAUCAAAUCAAAAAUUAAUCUUCCUCAGCGAUUAGGUCAUCUUAUAACCUAAUUAGGUUAAAUCUAAUCGAAUCCAAUUCAAUAAGUCUUGAUUCAAACCAUAUUGCUCAAUCAAAUUCAGCCAAUAGCAAUCCAAUAGCUACUUAAUCCUCCUAUAAUUCACCAACUCUUAGUAAAUUAUUUUAUGAUAACUUUUGCAUUAGAUUAAUCAUCAAUCACAUUGACGAUUAUACCCUUCUACGAUUCAUAACCGUUGAUCAAACAUUUGAUCAGAUAAGAACCUCUUUUGUGUGUGACCCUAUAGGUUCUAUUCUAUCUGGUAAUGAGAUAUACUAUGAUCUCCAUCACAAUAUCAUCGAAACUCUUUUCGAUGGGUUGAAAUAAUUCUAACUCUGCCCUUUGAAGGUCAUCGAUCAUCAAGACAAUACUCGACGAGUCUCAUAAUCCACCAGCAAUGCCUAGCAGUAUGUAGUUGCAACCCAACAGAAUGGAAGUAUCGAACCUCUAGGUGCAAUUAUCGUAUGAUUCAGUCUUUCUAUCGUGAGUUCCGAUUUGACAAAAGUCAUGGAGAAUUCGUCAAACCCCAACACCAGUCAUAUGUCAGAUUGACUCAACUCGAGUUCACUUACGAAUCCCUAGAAACUCCUUUCCAAUAUUCAUACUUGCUUCGACCGAAGACUACCUGAACUCAAUCAUACAAAUCAAAUAGGACUACUCCUUUUCUAUCAAGAUCGAUAGAUUUCAUCUAGGUACAUCCUACUCUUAAUAGCGAACCUGAACCCACCGAAGCCAACAUACACCGUAAGAAUCCGAAUGGCUAAAAACCAAAUUUAGUUGCAAUCAAACCCAGCAGCCUUACUGCGAAUAGCCAAUGCACCGUAGGUCAAAGGAUCACUCACACCACUGCAGCAUCGAGAAGAUCACUGACGAGUGAACAGAUAUCCAAGUAGUUUCUCAUGAUGAUCACGCUCAGUGCAAGUUGUUCUCUAACAACCACCUGCACUCUCAUCGCAAUAUCUCCAUACUACAGACUUGAGACUCAUCUGUCUGAAAGAAAGGUGAUCCAUGCACCGAUCUAACUGGAUCGAUCACUGUUCUCCGUGAUGAUCCACCGAUUAAGAGCAUUUAAAAACCAACCACUAAUGAUGUCUCAAAUGUUAGAUGUAUAUCCUAAAAGCCAAUUGUUGGCUGACACAUUUUUGUUCUAUGAUACAUAUUUAUACUUAAACUAUUGAUUUAAUCAAUAAAGAGUAAGUUUUCAUUUUUCAUUCAAGUGUUAUGUAUCUUUGAAUCGUCUUUGAAAUUGAUAUUAUGAUACAUAUUCUUAAGUGUUAAGAAUUAGAGAUAUGUAUAAUCGAUUCCUAAAUUGCUCUCGAUCAUAGGAUAGUCAUGGGGACGAUGAUUCAUCCAGAUAAACCGGUGCAUAGUUCGCUUCCUUCAGGAUAGAUGAAUCUCUAGUUUAUAGUGUAGAGACAGUAAACGAAAAGUGUGGAUAAUUAUUAGAGAACAACUUAUACUGAGCAUGACCAUACAAGAGAUCAUAUAGAUUUUUAUUCGAUCGUCAAUGAUUAUCUCGAUGCUGUAAUUGUGUGAUUGAUCCUUUGACCUGUGAUGUCAUAGUUGCUCAUAGUAAGACUGCUGUAAUUUGAUUAUACAUAAACAUUAACUCGAUUAUGAGUUUUUAUAGUGAAUGUUAGCUUCAGUUGGUUAAGUUGUGUGAGCAAUGUGUGCAUUUAUAUGGGAUCUAUCGACCUUGAUAAAGGUAGUCCUAUGAGAUUUAAGAAACUGAGUCAACAAAUCUAUGACCAUAACAGUGUGAUUGAUGAAAAAAAAAAUUUAUUUGAAAUCACUAUUAGACUUGAGCUGAUCGAAUCUAUCAUAUAACUGAUGAUGAAGUUUGAUAAUUUAUUCAUGACAUGCCAUCUAGUCGGAACUCAUGAUAGAGAGACUUUAUCAUACUUUAACUACACCUAAAAAUUCUAUUUCGGUUCUGCUAGGUUGCCACUACAUAUUGCUAAAUGUCACUGAUGGAUUGUGAGAGCUCAAUAGGAUCGUUUUGAAUCAAUGAUCCUUGUCGAGUUAGAGUGAAAUUAUUAUGACCUACUGAAAAGAGUUUUAGUGAUAUCUAUAAUAAAAAUCAUGGUAUGUCUCAUUACCGAAUAGAAUUGAACCUAUGAGAUCACACAUAAAGGGAGAAGAUGUGGAUUGGUUAAUAAUUGGACUUAUGAAGUACCAAUUUAUAUGGAUUUAAAAAAAUUCUAUUGGAUUUAUGUUAACCUUGCUAGCAUCUAGGUGAACCCAAUUUCUCUUGUAGUUGGUUUGUUUAUAUGAUAAGCAUUAACUAAUUCCUACACUUAAUUUGAACCUAAUUGAAUAUGAUUCAAUGGCCUCCAAUGCUUGAAUACUUAGUUUAUGGCUUGGAUUAAAUCAAGAAAGAAUUUUUUAAUUUUAUUCAUUAAGAACCCUUGAAGUAAAUUUAUGAAAUCAUGUAAACUGAUUUGAGACUUUUUAUUGGAUCCCAUAUAAUGGGACGCCUAGCAUUAGGUGUGAGCAUGGGUGAGUUUUGAAUGGCGCCCCAUUUAUUUGGUCUAAAUAUAUUUAAGCUAGGACUUCUAAUAUGAUUAGGAGGAGGAAUUCUAAUUUGAUUAGGACACCCUUAUGUUGUCUAUAUAAAGAAUCCUAGCCUUACUUCUCUCAAAAUCUCACUUCCUCCCUUACCACCACCCUUACUGUGUCCAUCGCCUCCCCUCCUCUCUCUCUAGCCCACGCCCUCUCUCUCUAGACAUCCCCUUGUUGGAGCUAGAAGAGAGGUGGGCGGCGUCUCUCUUUGGUGUCAAUUAGUUGGCGCCAAGUUGUUGUUAGGUGGUUUCUUCUUCCUCUCAAGUUGUUGGGAGUUAGUUACAACCACUUCUUAAUUGUUCUUCUUGAUUAGUUGAGGGGUCAAAAAAGAUUCUUGACUUCUUCAAGAAUCAAGAAAGAAAGAUUAAAAAGGGUUCAAGGGUUGAUCCCUAUCCAAACUUGGUUCAAGCCUAUUCAGGCUUUGAGUUCAAAUGAGUUGUAUCAAAAGGAGCUUAUCUAGAUCAGUCCUGUGGAUAUGCAUAGAGGCAGGACGCUGGUGCUGCUGAUUCAGAACCUACUCAACACUAGAUUCAGGGAUUGAAUUGGAUGCAACUCCAGUUACAGAUUUGAAGCAAAAGAAAAGCAAUUUAGGUAUGUGAAUUGAUUACAGGCUUUCAUUUAUUUAUCCUAAAAUCAGUUUAUAUUAAUUUCAGCAUAUGAAUUAGAUACAUAGAUGCUUUCAUAUGAUGAAUGCAUGCUUAGAUUAAAAAUAUUUUAAUCUAAUUUCUUCACUGCAUUUUGGAUUUAGAAAAGUUUUAAAAUCUACAUGCACUAGCACCUGUAGAAAAUCCAACAGUGGUAUCAAAGCCACAUGUUCAUAUAUAUAAAAGUUGCAUGAAAGUUUUGAAAAUUAUUUUCAAAAUUCUGAUUUUAGUUUAUACAUAAGAUGUAUAUGUUUAUGUUCAGAUCUAAAAAAUAUUUUAGAUCUGAAUUUUAUUCAUAUAUGCGAUAUAUGAAAGCAUGCAUAGGUUAGAAAUUAAAUUUCUGCGAUCUGAAUUUUUCGUUUAUGCGAUAUAUGAUGGUAUGUUUAGAUCUAAAAUUAAUUUUUGAAAAAUCUGAAAUUUUUCAUGUAUAUGAUAUAUGAUUGCAGGCAUGUUUUGAAGUAUUUCAAAAAUCAAAAACUUACUUUUUAUGCAAUGAAUUUAGAUCUGAAAUUUAUUUUCAAUGAUCUGAAAUUAGUGUGUGCAUGAAUUGUUGGACAUGGGUAGUUUUGCAUUAGGUCAAUGAAUUGCAUCUUAAGUUAAAAUUGGAUCAUAUUGGGUUGAAAUCGAUGUAGCUAUUGAUCAAACUGAGUCAAGUGUUGAUUUGGGUUAGAUCAAUUGAGCUUAUGAUCCUACAAGUGUUGUAAAUUGAAUUGAUUAAAUCCCAUAUGUAGAAUCAAGUCAAUCUAAAGACCUAAUCCGGCUUUAUGGAUUGAAUCCGAUUCAUCUAAGCUGACUAAUUGAAACCAAUAAGCCAGUGUCUAAGACAAGUCUCGAUCGGUGGUUUUUAAUUGGGAGGCUACUCAUCUAGAUAAUUUUGUCUAUGGUGAGUUAAUGGCAUACCCUCCCAUCGGUCUCACUUACCUAACCGAUUAGAUGAUUGGAUUCAUUAGUUGCUAAAACAUUUUUGUUUAGCCCAUGCCAAUUAGAUCGGUCAUAUGAUGCUUGAUUAGAUGAGAUCUAACCUAAACCCCUCUAAUUAAUAUUAAGCCUCAUGGUCUUCCACCAUUAUAGAAGUGUGGGCGUGGUACUGGCAUUGACUGUUUUCGGCUGGUUGCAGUAGUUCAGUUGCAUCGGGAACACGCAACUACUCUACUAGCAAAGAGUUGCUCCAAGAUGAAGAUGGGGUUGGGCCCAAUAUGUGUUAUCUGAGAGACUCAAUGACGGCUUCACACCUGCUUGUAAACGGUGGAUCAAGCUUAACUAAGAAAUAGAACAAUAUGUGUUAUCUAAGCUCUCAUGACUUAGAGACCAAGUCGCUGCAAUAUGCUUAAAGAAGCAUUUGGAUAAAGAGUUGCCUACGCAUCGGUGUGCUUGUCACCAAUAACUGUUAAGCGAGGUGCAAGGCAUCAGUGGGACCGCAGCACCCACUAAAAACUUUGCAUUGGUCACAUCGAGUUUUUGCUUUCCACUCAGGGAGUGUCAGAAUNNNNNNNNNNNNNNNNNNNNNNNNNNNNNNNNNNNNNNNNNNNNNNNNNNNNNNNNNNNNNNNNNNNNNNNNNNNNNNNNNNNNNNNNNNNNNNNNNNNNNNNNNNNNNNNNNNNNNNAUAAAUUUUAAGUAUAAAUAUCUAACUAGAAUCUCUACUCUCAUAGAUAAAUAAUAUCGGCCUCUAAUCCACUAACCCGCAUCCUUAAAACCAACUGAUUGACCGGUACAAAUUAUAAGGCCUAGCUCAGAAACCUCAGAAUAGUCCUGACAUCCGAAAAGAUUGGAUAUGUACUCGACCAAAAUGCCCCAGCCUUACCAGCCCGUCCUACGACAGAGCAAAAAGCUGCUUUGGACAAGUAGACUGAUGAUGACCUUAAGGUGAAGUGCUAUGUUCUGGCUUCCAUGUCAAAUGAGUUGCAGAGCCAGCAUGAGCACAUACCCACUGUCCGUACCAUGAUCACUCACCUGCAAGAGUUGUACGGUGAGCAGAGCUGAACUGUGCGCUUCGAAUUGUCCAAGCGGUUGUUCAAUAUGAAGAUGCGCGACGGACAGUCAGUCUACGAUUAUUGUAUGACAAUGAUCAAGGACCUAGAGAAACUUGAGAAGCUCGAGCUUAAUAUGUAGAGGGAAUUAAAGAUCAAUUUGAUGCUCCAAUCCCUGAUCAGUUCAUUUGGGUAGUUUAUCAUAAACUACCAUAUGAACAAAUUGGACUGCAACUUACCUAAAUUGGUCAAUAUGCUGGUCACUGCUGAGGGUACCUUGAAAAGUUCAAAGGGCUCUAUUUUUGCAAUUGAGCGGGUACCUUCCAAGAGAAAGUCUCAAAGAAAAAAAAAGAAUAAGCCUGCAAAGAAGCAGAAGAAGAAGAGCAAGCCUAAAAAGGACACUCCAAAGAAAGCUGUGGAGAAAGAAAAGUAUUUCUACUGCAACUCCAAUGGCCACUGGAGGAGAAACUGUCCGUCUUAUCUGGAGAGCCUGAAGAUAAAAAAAGGUGAUCAACCUUCUGAAGGUAUGCUCAUAAUAGAAUCUAACCUAACGAUUUUUUCUACUUCUAGUUGGGUAUUGGACUCUGAUUCGAGUGUACAUAUAUAUACUUUAAUGCAGGGUCUACUAGGAAGUAAGAGAUUGAGAAAAGAUGACAUAAUCCUUCGGGUCGACAAUGGAGCAAAAAUUACUGCAGAAACUGUUGGAACCUAUCCUUUUCGAUUACCGUCAGACUUUAGAUUAGAUUUAAAAGACUAUUAUUUUAUUCUUGUAGCUAGCCGAAAUUUGAUUUCGGUAUCUGUACUAGCACAAGAUGGAUUUAUUUUUUAAUUUAAUAAAAAAUUUUGUUCCAUUUAUUUAUGAAAUAAAUUUGUUGCAUCUGAUCUUUUGAUUGACAAUCUUUAUCACUUGCAUGUUGAUGCUAAUGUGAGCUUAAAUGAGCAAGUAGUGAGUGCCGUAGGCCAAAAGAGAUCUAGAAAUGAGUUUAACCAUAAGUACUUAUGGCACCAUAGACUUGGUCAUAUUGGAGAGGACAGGAUAAACAGAUUGAAAAAGGAUGGGAUCCUUGACUUAGUUAAAUCUGAGUUGAUUCUGACCUGUGAAUCCUGUUUUCGAGAAAAAAUAGCUAGGUUACCUUUUGUGGGACAAAAAAAAGAGCCACUGAGUUACUACUCUUGGUACAUACUGAUAUGUGUGGCCCAUUUGAUGUGCAGAUCAGGGGUGGUUAUAGCUACUUCAUUACCUUUACUGAUGAUCUAUCACGGUAUGGGUACGUGUUUCUUAUGAAACACAAGUCUGAAGUCUUUGAAAGGUUCAGAAAAUUCAGAAAAGAGGUAGAAAAGCAAAUACGUAAAUCCAUCAAAGUCCUAUGAUCCAAUCGAGGAGGAGAAUACCUUAGUGCUGAAUUUCUGGAAUAUCUUAAGGAGAAUGGCAUAGUCUUUCAAUGGACUCCUCCCAGCAUGCCUCAAUUCAACGGGAUAUCCGAAAGGAGAAAUAGGAUUCUAUUGGAUAUGGUCCGAUCCAUGAUGAGCUUUACUCAUUUAUCCAUAUAUCUUUGAGGACCUGUUUUACUUACCGCGAUACAUAUUUUAAAUAGAAUUCCUUCUAAGUCUGUUUCUACCAUACCAUAUGAGAUAUGACAAGGUAAAAAGCCGAGUCUGAGUUACCUUAAGACUUAGGGAUGUCCAGCCUAUGUUAAAAAACAGAAAGCUCAUAAGUUAGAGAAUAAAUCAGUUAUAGCUCGAUUUAUAGGAUAUCCUAAGGAAUCUAUUGGGUACUUUACUUUCCACAUUGCCACAAUAUGAUUGUAAGUUGCAAUGUCACAUUUCUAGAAAAAUAAUUUAUCCAGGACAGUGAUAGUGGGAGGUUAAUUGAGCUUGACGAGAAUGUCUCUGAAGAGCGACGAGCUAUAGAUCCCCAAGAACCUGUCAAUGAUAAGCCAAUAGUUAAUGUUCCACUUUCACCUCGUGGAUCAAGUAGAAUCUCUCAUCCUCCUGAAAGAUACAUGGAUAUAUUGAAAGAAGAUGUAGAAAAAACAUUCCUUGUGGGAGAUGGGGAUCAUGAUGAUGAUCCUAGUACUUUUGACGAGAUGAUGUCUGACAUCGAUUCCGAAAAAUAGUUAGAUGUAAUGAAGUCAGAAAUUGACUCAAUGCACUCAAACCAGGUAUGGUCCUUAGUGGAUCCACCGGAAGAAAUUAUUCCUAUUGGGUGUAAAUGAAUCUAUAAAAAAAAAUAAGUGCUGAUGGUAAGAUAGAGACAUAUAAGACAAGGCUGGUGGCGAAGGGUUAUAGUCAGCACGAAGGCAUUGACUAUCAUGACACUUUUUCAUCUGUAGCCAUGCUGAAAUUUAUCCGUAUAUUGCUUGCUGUUGCAGCUUACUAUGAUUAUAAAAUCUGACAGAUGAAUGUGAAAACUAUUUUCUUGAAUAGAUAUCUUGAGAAAAAUACCUAUAAGGAGCAACCUCUGGGUUUCACGUCGGGUGAUAGUGAUCACCGAGUCUGCAAGCUGCAGAGGUCCAUCUAUGGACUAAAGUAGGCUUCUCGAAGCUGGAAUCUUCGUUUCAAUGAUGCGAUCAAAUCGUUUGAUUUCAUCAAAAAUAAAGAAAAAUAAAAGGGUCAGUGAGAGCGCAUUUAUCUUCCUCGUACUGUACAUCGAUGACAUCCUCUUUAUUAAAAAUGAUAUUCUCAUGCUGACUUCGGUCAAGACUUGAUUGUUUAAGAAAUUCUUCAUGAAAGACCUUGAGGAAGCAUCCUAUAUCCUUGGGAUAAAGGUCUAUAAAGAUAAAUCUAGAAAGAUGCUUGGCCUGUCACAAAAGCUGCACUAGAAAAAAUACUGAAGCGGUUCAACAUGAAAAACUCCAAAAGAGAUUUGCUAUCCCUUAGAUAUGGUAUUCGACUCUCCAAGAUGAUGUGUCCUAAUACUUCUGAAGAGAUCGAGCGCAUGAAUAGGAUAUCUUAUGCUUCGGUGAUUGAGAGCCUCAUGUACGUCAUGCUAUAUACUCAACCUGAUAUUGCCCUUGCUGUGAGUGUCACAAACAUGUAUCAGUCGAAUCCAGAUGAGGAGCACUAGAUAGCUGUGAAGAACAUCGUUAAGUACUAACGAAGGACUAAAAAUUUAUUCUUGAUCUUUAGAGGAGCACCUGAAUUACGGAUUGAGGGUUAUACAAAUUCGGACUUCAUAUCAAAUUCUGAUGAUAGAAAAACUACAUCGGGAUAUGUGUUCGUAUGCAAUGAUGGUGCAAUCAACUGAAAGUGCUCCAAGCAAAGCAUCAUCGCAGAUUCGAUCGCAGAGGCCGAGUAUAUCGCCGCUUCAAAUACUGCAAAAGAAGACUUUUGAUUCAAAAAGUUUGCCGUGGAACUUGGUGUAAUGACAUCGGAUGUCAUACCACUAUACUGCGAUAACAAUGGAGCCAUAGCACUUGCUAAAGAAGCUCGAUCUCAUCGAAAAUUAAAGCAUAUUGAACGAUGAUUUCAUAUCAUACGCGACUACCUUGAGAAGCCAUAUGUCGAGGUGCAAAGAGUAGACUCCGUGGAUAACAUGGCAGACCUACUGACAAAGCAAUUGAGCCAGCCCAAAAUGGAAGCCCACCUUGAGAAGAUGGGGCUUAGAUUAAUGACCAAUUGGCUUUAGUUUAAGUGAGAGAUUGUUAGAUAUAUGUCCUAAAAGUCAAUUGUUGGCUGACAUAUUUUUGUUCUAUGAUAUAUAUUUGUACUUAAACUAUUAAUUUAAUCAAUAAAAGAUAAGUUUUUAUUUUUCAUUCAAGUAUUAUAUGUUCUUGAAUCGUCUUUGAAAUUGAUGUUACGAUAUAUAUUCUCAAAUAUUGAGGAUUAGAGAUAUAUAUGAUCGAUUUCUAAAUUACUCCCAUAGAAUAGUCAUGAAAACGAUGAUUCAUCUAGAUAAAUCGGUGCACGGUUCACUUUCUUCGAGAUAGAUGAGUCUCUAGUCUACAGUGUAAAGACACUGAGCAAAAAAUGCGAAUAAUUGUUAAAGAACAACUUGUACUGAGCAUGACCAUACGAGAGAUCAUAUGGAUUUCUAUUCGAUCGUUAGUGAUUAUCUCGAUACUAUAGUUGUAUGACUGAUCCUUUGACUUGUGGUAUCACAGUUGCUCACAGUAAGACUACUGUAGUUUGACUACACAUAAAUAUUAAUUCGAUCAUGAAUUUUUGUAAUGGAUGUUGACUUCAGUUGGUUGAGCUGUGCGAGCAAUGUGUGCAUUUAUAUGAGAUCUAUCGAUCUUAAUAGAGAGUAGUCCUAUAAGAUUUGAGAAGGUAAAUCCAUAAGUCUAUGGCAAUAGCAGUGUGAUUGAUGGAAAAGAGUUUUCAUUUGGAAUCACUAUUGGACUUGAACUGAUCGGAUCUAUCGUAUGAUUGAUGAUGAGGUUUGACGAUUUAUUUAUGACCUACCAUCUAGUCGGAACUCACGAUAGAGGGACUGUAUCAUACUUUAACUACAUCUAGAGGUUCUAUUUCGGUUCUACUGGAUUGCCACUACAUAUUGCUAGAUGUCACUGGUAGAUUGUGAAAGCUCAAUAGGAUCGUUUUGGAUCAACAAUCCUUGUUGAGUUAGAGUGAAAUUGUUCUGACCCACUGAAAAGAGUUUCAGUGAUACCUAUGAUAGAGAUCAUGAUAUGUCCCACUACCAGACAGAAUUGAACUUAUGGGAUCAUAUAUAAAAGGAGAAGAUCUGGAUUGGUUAAUAAUUGGACUUAUGAAGUACCAAUUUACAUGGAUUUAAAAAAUUUCUAUUGGGUUCAUAUUAACCUUGCUAGCACCUAGGUGAAUCCAAUUUCUCUUGUAGUUGAUUUGUUUAUAUGAUAAACAUUAACCAAUUCUUACACUUGAUUUGAACCUAAUUGAAUAUAAUUCAAUGGUCUCCAAUACUUGAACGCUUAAUUUAUGGCUUAGAUUAAAUCAAGAAAGAGUUUUUUUAUUUUAUUCAUUAAGAACCCUUGAAGUGAAUUUAUGAAACCAUGUGGGUUGAUUUGAGACUUUUAUUGGGUCCCAUAUGAUGAGACGCCUAGCAUUGGGUGUGAGUAUGGAUGAGUUUUAGGUGGCGCCCCAUUUAUUUGAUCCAAAUAUAUUUAAGCUAGGACUUNNNNNNNNNNNNNNNNNNNNCUAUAUGUUGUCUAUAUAAAGGAUCCUAGCCUUCUCUCAAAAUCUCACUUCCUCCCUUGCCACCAUCCUUACUGUGUCCAUCACCUCCCCUCCUCUUUCUCUCUCUAGCCCAUGCCCUCUCUCUCUAGACGUCCCCAUGUUGGAGCUAAAAAAGAGAUGGGCAGCAUCUUUCUUUGGUGUCGAUUAGUUGGCGCCAAGUUCUUAGGUGGUUUCUUCUUCCUCUCAAGUUGUUGGGAGUUAGUUACAACUACUUCUUGAUUGUUAUUCUUCUUAAUUAGUUGAGGGAUCAAGAAAGAUUCUUGGCUUCUUCAAUAAUCAAGAAAGAAAGAUCAAAAAAGAUUCAAGGGUUGAUCCCUAUCCAGGCUUGGUUCAAACCUAUUCAGGUUUUGAGUUUAAGUGAAUUGUAUCAAGAAAAGCUUAUUUAGAUUGAUCCUAUGGAAACCCGUAGAGACAGGAUGCUUGUGCUGCUGAUUCAGAACCUACUCAAUCCUAGAUCCAAAGAUUGAAUUGGAUUCAACCCCAAUUACAUUUUUGAAGCAAAAGAAAAGCAAUUUAGGUAUGUGAAUUGAUUACAGACUUUCAUUUAUUUAUUUUAAAAUUAGUUUAUAUUAAUUUCAGCAUAUAAACUAGAUUCAUAGGUGCUUUCAUAUAAUGAAUGCAUGCUUAGAUUAAAAGUAUUUUAAUCUGAUUUUUUCGUUGCAUUUUGGAUUUAGAAAAGUUUUGAAAUCCACAUGCACUAGCACCUAUAGAAAAUCCAACAUCAAAUUCCCAACAUCUUGAGAAUAUACAAAAUCAUCUGUUAAUUUCUAAGAUAAAUCAUGAACACAUAAAAUAUGAUUGAAAAUAAAAAUAUUUUUUAAUAAUAAUACAUAUUUUAUAAAUAUAAAAUUAGAUCUUUAAAUUA